ensembl:miRNA
AGCGUGGAGGGCCUGGAAGGCCUGGCUUUGCAGCGUGGACUGGACCCUGCAGACCCGGCCUUGGCAAGCCCUUCCGCU